GAUGAACGCUGGCGGCGUGCCUAAUACAUGCAAGUCGAGCGAAUGGAUUAAGAGCUUGCUCUUAUGAAGUUAGCGGCGGACGGGUGAGUGACACGUGGGUAACCUGCCCAUAAGACUGGGAUAACUCCGGGAAACCGGGGCUAAUACCGGAUAACAUUUUGAACCGCAUGGUUCGAAAUUGAAAGGCGGCUUCGGCUGUCACUUAUGGAUGGACCCGCGUGGGAUUAGCUAGUUGGUGAGGUAACGGCUCACCAAGGCAACGAUGCGUAGCCGACCUGAGAGGGUGAUCGACCACAAUGGGACUGAUACACGGCCAAGACUCCUACGGGAGGCAGCAGUAGGGAAUCGUGCGCAAUGGACGAAAGUCUGACGGAGCAACGCCGGGUGAGUGAUGAAGGCUUUCGGGUCGUAAAACUCUGUUGUUAGGGAAGAACAAGUGCUAGUUGAAUAAGCUGACACCUUGACGGUACCUAACCAGAAAGCCACGGCUAACUACGUGCCAGCAGCCGCGGUAA
rnacentral:rRNA from 1 species